GAGAAACGAAGCCGGAAAACAGAUUGAAAUCAGCGUUUGAACCAUUGCCUCAGUUUGUCAGUACUGUGAGAAAAUGUCCUUACCAAAGAAGCCUGGAUUCUCAAACAAACUCUGGAGCUGCUUUUUUGUCGACCACGAGUGAGGCUGGACGCUGAACACACCUACGGCACGAAGUGUUUUCUAGGUUUGCUUGUUCAGCUGCUGCAGCCUGAACAGAGACACCACCUCUCACCUGGCAAACCAAACAGGUGUCACCACGUCGUCCGAGGUUGCAGAGACAUCGUCCACAAUCACAGAGAGUCUUUGUACAAUGAAGAAGUUCUUUGAAACCAGGACUGAGUCCUCCAGGAUUCAAACUUUAACCAUUGAUAUGAAGACAUUAUCAGAAGGUCUUCAGCUGCUGAUGUCCUCUCCUUCUGCAGAGACAAGAACAUGUAUGAAUCACAGAAACUGAUCAGUAAAUCUAAACAUUUUUACAACAUACUAUUGUCUGACAUGUUUUAUGUCCUACUAUACUGUGACAAUUUUUGUUGGUUUUUGAUGCCUUUCUAUACUAUGGCAUGUUGCUUAAGACAAAGGAACUAUCUUGAAAUAGCCAUCUUAGCUUUGUUUUCCACAGACACACUCACAUCACUACACAGUGUUUGUGGAUUAGGUUAGAUUUUCAUUUUGGUAUUUUAAAUUGUGCAAUAUCAGUACUCAAAUCCAAUCUAUUGCUGUGUACAUAGACCUUGUUAUACUGUUCGUCUUGUUUAUAUAAUGCUGUUGCAACACUGAAUUUCCCUGCUGUGGGUCUGAUAAAAGAUUAUUAUUAUUCAAAUAAAUACUUCUGAA